rnacentral:rRNA from 1 species
UUGUCUCAAAGAUUAAGCCAUGCAUGUCUCAGUACGAGCCAAAUUAAGGUGAAACCGCGAAAGGCUCAUUAAAUCAGUUAUGGUUCCUUAGAUCGUACCCACAAUUACUUGGAUAACUGUGGUAAUUCUAGAGCUAAUACAUGCAAACAGAGCUCCGACCGGAGACGGAAGGAGUGCUUUUAUUAGAUCAAAACCAAUCGGCGUUAGGUGCGCGUAUGUUUUAAACGGCAUGCGUUCGUACUUGUCGUCGUAUAUAUGUUUGGUGACUCUGAAUAACUUUAUGCUGAUCGCACGGUCUAGCACCGGCGACGUAUCUUUCAAAUGUCUGACUUAUCAACUGUCGAUGGUAGGUUCUGCGCCUACCAUGGUUGUAACGGGUAACGGGGAAUCAGGGUUCGAUUCCGGAGAGGGAGCCUGAGAAACGGCUACCACAUCCAAGGAAGGCAGCAGGCGCGCAAAUUACCCACUCCCGGCACGGGGAGGUAGUGACGAAAAAUAACGAUACGGGACUCAUCCGAGGCCCCGUAAUCGGAAUGAGUACACUCUAAAUCCUUUAACGAGGAUCAAUUGGAGGGCAAGUCUGGUGCCAGCAGCCGCGGUAAUUCCAGCUCCAAUAGCGUAUAUUAAAGUUGUUGCGGUUAAAAAGCUCGUAGUCGAAUUUGUGUUUCGUGCCGCUGGUUCAUCGUUCGCGGUGUUAACUGGCGAGACACGAGACGUCCUGCCGGUGGGUUUAGCGCAAGUAUGUGGCUGUGUCGUUGUUGUCGUGUACCCCGCGUUCGGUCUCUCAUGGGUUCGUUCGUUGGUGUGUCCGCGCGCACGCGCACCUUUACUUGUGCGGCCCAAAUUUCGCAAUCCUGCCGCGGUGCUCUUCAUUGAGUGUCGAGGUGGGCCGGCACGUUUACUUUGAACAAAUUAGAGUGCUUAAAGCAGGCUAAAAUUUCGCCUGAAUAUUCUGUGCAUGGAAUAAUGGAAUAGGACCUCGGUUCUAUUUUGUUGGUUUUCGGAACUCCGAGGUAAUGAUUAAUAGGAACGGAUGGGGGCAUUCGUAUUGCGACGUUAGAGGUGAAAUUCUUGGAUCGUAGCAAGACGAACGGAAGCGAAAGCAUUUGCCAGAA